AAUCCUAUAAUCCCAGGAGGACCACCAGUGGCGAAGGCGCCCGGCUAGCACGCGCCCGACGGUGAGGGACGAAAGCUGGGGGAGCAAAGGGGAUUAGAUACCCCCGUAGUCCCAGCUGUAAACGAUGCAGGCUAGGUGUUAGGCGGGCUUCGUGCCCGCCUAGUGCCGUAGGGAAGCCGUUAAGCCUGCCGCCUGGGGAGUACGGCCGCAAGGCUGAAACUUAAAGGAAUUGGCGGGGGAGCACCACAAGGGGUGAAGCUUGCGGUUUAAUUGGAGUCAACGCCGGAAACCUUACCGGGGGCGACAGCAGGAUGAAGGCCAGGCUAACGACCUUGCCAGACGAGCUGAGAGGAGGUGCAUGGCCGUCGCCGGCUCGUGCCGUGAGGUGUCCUGUUAAGUCAGGGAACGAGCGAGACCCCCGCCCCUAGUUGCUACCCGGUCCUUUUAAUACGACUCACUAUAGGGGGACUGCCGGCGAUAAGCCGGAGGAAGGUGGGGGCUACGGCAGGUCAGUAUGCCCCGAAACCCCCGGGCUACACGCGAGCUGCAAUGGCGGGGACAACGGGUUCCGACCCCGAAAGGGGGAGGCAAUCCCUUAAACCCCGCCUCAGUAGGAAUCGAGGGCUGCAACUCGCCCUCGUGAACCUGGAAUCCCUAGUAACCGCGUGUCAUCAACGCGCGGUGAAUACGUCCCUGCUCCUUGCACUCACCGCCCGUC
rnacentral:rRNA from 1 species